rnacentral:rRNA from 1 species
UACGGAGGGAGCUAGCGUUGUUCGGAGUUACUGGGCGUAAAGCGCGCGUAGGCGGCUUUGUAAGUUAGAGGUGAAAGUCCGGGCUCAACCUCGGAUCGGCCGUGGCGACUCGUGGGCUGGAGCACUGUAGAGGCGGGUGGAAUUCCGGGUGUAGCGGUGGAAUGCGCAGAUAUCAGGAGGAACACCGGUGGCGAAGGCGGGUCUCUGGGCAAUAACUGACGCUGAGGAGCGAAAGCGUGGGAGCGAACAGG